CCGGAGUCGUACGCUCCCGGGCAAGGGAGCGUGGCGGACGGCUGAGUCACACGUGGCUAACCUACCCUGAGGAGGGAGAUAACCCCGGGAAACUGGGGAUAAUCUCCCAUAGGCGAGGAGUCCUGGAACGGUUCCUCGCUGAAAGGCUCAUGGGCUAUUCCCCGCUCAUGAGCUGCCUYAUGWUUGGGCUGCGGYCCAUCAGGUAUUUGGGGGGGUAAGGGCCYCUCCAAGCCUAUAACGGGUAGAGGGCCGUGAGAGCGGGGAGCCCCCAGUUGGGCACUGACACAAKGGCCCAGGCCCUACKAGGGCGCACCACGCKCGAAACGUCCCCAAUGCUCCGCRRAAAGUGAGGGCGCCACCCCGAGUGCUCCCGUAAUGGAGCUUUUCCCCGCUCUACAAAGGCGGGGGAAUAAGCGGGGGGCAAGUCUGGUGUCAGCCGCCGCGGUAAUACCAGCCCCGCGAGUGGUCGGGACUCUUACUGGGCCUAAAGCGCCCGUAGCCGGCCCGACAAGUCACUCCUUAAAAACCCCGGCUCAACCGGGGGAAUGGGGGUGAUACUGUCGGGCUAGGGGGCGGGAGAGGCCAUCGGUACUCCCGGAGUAGGGGCGAAAUCCUCAGAUCUCGGGAGGACCACCAGGGCGAAAGCGGCUGGCUAGAACGCCCCCGACUGUGAGGGGCUAAAGCCGGGGCAGCAAAAGGGAUUAAAUACCCCUGUA
rnacentral:rRNA from 1 species